GAGUCUCGCUCUGUCACCCAGGCUGGACUGCAGUGGCGCGAUCUUGGCUCACUGCAACCUCCGCCUCCUGGAUUCAAGCGAUUCUUCUGCCUCAGCCUCCCGAGUAGCUAGGAUUACAGGCAUGUGUCACCACGCCCGGCUAAUUUUGUAUUUUUAGUAGAGACGGGGUUUCUCCGUGUUGGUCAGGCUGGUCUCGAACUCCUGACCUCAGGUGAUCUGCCCGCCUCGGCCUCCCAAAGUGCUGAGAUUACAGACGUGAGCCACCGUGCCUGGCGGAAUUUUCAUAUUUUAAGUCCCCCACCCUUGGACAUUUAGAUUUUUUCCAUCUUUCUGUAUUUGCAGAUAUGCUUCUACGUACACCUUUAUUCAUUUGCUUGAACAUUUCCCUGAGAAAAACUAGAAAUGGAAUUGCCAGAUUACUUUGUGUACAUGUUUCCAAACUGUCCUCCAGAAAGAAUGUAAUGCUUUGAACUUCCACUUGAGAAUCAAAUGUUUACCUUCCUCUGUUCCUCCAGAUUUGGACAUUUACAGUGUUCAGCCGUUGUUGUGGCAUUCCAAUUCAAUUGGGAAACAGCUUGAUGUAGCGUCCCCAUAAGGUCCACAGUAAUUAAAUUUUUUUUUUUUUUUUUUGGUGCGGUAGUGCAAUUUCAUGGCUCACUGCAACCUCCACCUCCCAGGUUCAAGCGAUCCUCCCAUCUCAGCCUCCCUAGUAGCUGGGAUUACAGGUGCACGCCACCACACCAGGCUAAUUUUUGUAUUUUUAGUAGAGAUGGGGUUUCACCAGGUUAGCCAGGCUGGUCUUGAACUCCAGACCUCAAGGGAUCCGCCUGCCUCAGCUUUCCAAAGUGCUGGGAUUACAGGUGGAGACUGGACCUCAGAAGAGGGAGUGGGUGCCCCGAGAACUCACAGCUAGCGGACAGUGGAAAGGGCAGGAGCCGGACCAAGGUGAGGACAGUGGAACUGAAGGCCGCUGGUUACCUCUCCUGCCCUCCGCUGGCCACAGUGGAGAAGACAGCCCCUCCCUCCUGCUCUGACCUGACAGUGUUCAUCCAUCGCCCUGUAUUAGCGAAGAACAACAUCAAGCUGGCUAGCAAGGAACUGUAUACAGGGUCCAGCUGGGUAUCACACUGGAUCUCACCCAAAGCUUAGAUGUGAUCCAGCUCAGUAUCACAAAGCAGAACGAAAAGGAUGUGUUUGGGCUGAGAGGCCAUACAUUGGCUCCGGCAUGACGGGUGACUUCUUCCGAGUCUGGCUUCUGCAGCACACAGGGCUUCGCCAGCACCCAGCUCCUGCAGCAUGGGCAGCUCCUGUGACAGCAGGCGCCCGCAGCCUGCAAAGCGUCUCCAGUGCCGCCGCCUCAGUGAACCUCAACCAGCGGCACCUAGCAGCUUUCUCUGCCACCCUCUUCAGGUAGUUCUGUAGCAGCGCGUUUCUCAUGAGACACUUCCCUGUGAGCAGCUUUUUCUACCCUUGAGGAUGGAUUUCCAGCAAAUUCUGCCCAUGUGGUACCACAGCCACUUCUCUGCCAUUCAGUGAAACUGCCGUUGUGCCCUCUUCAAGGUCUGGAUCUAAGCCCAGGGACCAGGAAACCUCUUGCUUGAGUGCUGGAACUCAGGCCAGAAGGUAUGGCUGCUGCUAUGUGCUGUGACCAGAGAAUCAGAGUUCUCUUUACUUCUUACCAGCCAACCUCUUGAAAAUGCCUUUUUGUUUUUUGUUUUUUUUUGAGACGGAGUCUCGCUCUGUUGCCCAGGCAGUGCAGUGGCUCACUGCAACCUCCGCCUCCUGAGUUCAAGUGAUUCUCCUGCCUCAGCCUCACAAGUAGGUGGGAUUACAGGCAUGUGCCACCACGCCCAGCUAAUUUUGUAUUUUUAGUAGUGACGGGGUUUCUCCAUGUUGGUCAGGUUGGUCUCAAACUCUCGACCUCAGGUGAUCCACCUGUCUCAGCCUCCCAAAGUGCUGGGAUUACAGACGUUAGCCAGAGCGCCCAGUCUAAGCCCUUUAUAGCUUAAUUCUAUAUAUUAAAUUUUCCCAGUUCAAAUUACUGUGUGCUUCCCUUCUCCUGAUUGGACCUUGCUUGAUACAAAAUUAGUACAAGGAGUGGUCUCAAGAGAUAGAUGCACAAAGAAGGGAUAUGGGGACGGAUUUGGGUAUUUGGGCUUGAGUGCAGACUGAGCUCCUUGACAAUGAGAAAUAGGAUAUGUAUUAGGGUUCUCCAGAAACAGAAUAACAGAAUCUAUAUAUACAUGUGUAUGUGUGUGUAUAUAUAUAUAUAUAGAGAGAGAGAGAGAGAGCUUUUAUGUGUGUGUAUAUGUAUAUAUAUAAACACACACACACUAAGGUAUUGCCUCACAUGAUUAUGGCAGUCGAGAAGCCCCACAAUCUGCUAUCUGCAAGCUGGAGACCCAAGGUCAGUGGUGCAGCAUUUUUUUUUCAGAUGGGGUCUCCCUCUGUUGCCCAGGCUGGACUGCAGUGGCACAAUCACAGCUCACUGCAGCCUUGACUUCCCCAGCUCAAGCAAGCUUCCCAUCUCAGCCUCCUGAACAGCUGGGACUACAGGUGGACACCACCAUACCCAGCUAAUUUGUUCUAUAUAUAUAUUUUUAUAUAGAGAUGGCCUCUCCCUGUAUGUCCUAGGCUGAUCUCGAACUCCCCUGGGCUCAAGCUAUCCGCCUGCCUCCGCCUCCUAACAGUUUUGUAAUUUUAAGGCCUGAGAGCCAAAGGCCAAUGGUGUAGAUUCCAAUUCAAGACUCAAGGCCUGAGAAUCAGGAGCACAAGACCAGGAGAUCAAUGUCCCAGUACCCAGGUCUCAAGUACUCAGGCACAGAGAGAAUUCAGCCUUCCUCUGCCUUGCUGUUCUGUUUAAUUCCAUACGGAUGGAUGAUGCCCACCCGUGGUGAGGGCCGUCUGCUUUACUCACUCAGCCAAUUCAAACGUUAAUCUCUUCUUGAGAAGCCCUCACAGACACACCCAGAAAGAAUGUUUAAGCAGCUGUCUGGGCAUGCCUUGGCCCAGUAUAGUUUAACAUGAAAUUAACCAUCACAGGGUGCUGGUUAUCCACGGCUUGCAGCGAUAUCACAAUUAAUCAAGCAGCCACCUGCAGGUGAUGAUGAAGUGCCAAUGAAAGCAUGUACCUGGUGGGAACAAGUAGCUGCUGCACUCAGCCAUUAUGGUGUCCACAGAUGUAUAAUGAUGAUUAUACAACCAUGGUAUGGGAUACAUUAUUUUUAGUGCACUUGAGCAUUUACAGUGAGAAAAUGACAAGCCCAAGUCCCUUAGCUCAGUUCAAGUCAUGGUCUGAGAACCUGAGAACUUCUGUGAUAGCUUAGAAGCAGCUCUUAUAGCCACAAUACUGUCACUGAAAAUCAAACACAAAACUUAACUGUAGAGUCGCUGAAUAAUAAUGACAGCUAAAUUCCCAGGCCCAACAAAUCUCACGUGAAGGUUACUGCGCUGAUUGGUAAAGAAGGUGAUCCUGGCCAGGCACAGUGGUGCAGUCCUGUAAUCCCAGUUACUCGGGAGGCUGAGGCAGGAGAAUCGCUUGAACCUGGGAGGUGAGGUUGCAGGGGGCCGAGAUGGCGCCACUGCACUUCCAGACUGGGCGACAGAGCGAGACUCUAUCAAAAAAACAAAACAAAACGAAAAAACAGAAGGUGAUCCUGAAAUUCAAAGUGGGGAUAUAUGUUUGGACCCAGAUGAAAUUGACAGUCUUGAUUCCUUAGGUCACUCUGAGCCUCCUUUACCAGUAGAAGUAGUUUGCCCUCAGUAUCUGAAUAGAAUAGCCUUUCUCUGCUUGAAAACCUUAGGAUAACCUUCCCAGGGGCAGAAGACCUAAAAGGGGAUGUCCAUUCUCCUGAAAACCCACCACAAUUGCGCUCCAUUGCCAGUAAACUCAUAACAACUAGGGUCAAAUCUCAACACAAUCUAUAUAUGUGUGUGUGUGGAGAGAGAGGCUGCACAAGCGUGUGCAAGAGACAGAGAGAGAGGGGAAAGAUACACGUUAUGACCCAGGAGGAAAUAGCUUAUACACUAAAAUAAUUCACUUUGCUGAUAUAAACUAGCAGAAACCUGGGGGAUAGAUGCAAGAGUAGAUUCUAAGGAUAGCAUACCAAAGUGGACAGAAUAUAAAAAGAGAUGAGAUUAGACCGGGUGCAGUAGCUCAUGCCUGUAGUCCCAGCACUUUAGGAGGCAGAGGCUGGAGGAUCAUCACUUGAGCCCAGGAGUUUGUUAUCAGUUUGGGCAACAUAGUUGAAACAUAAAAUACAAAAAUUAGCGGGGUGUUGUGGUGAGCACCUAUAGUCCCAGCUACUCAGAAAGCUGAGGUGGGAGGGUCGCUUGAGCCUGAGAGGUCAAGGCUGCAGUGAACUGUGAUCAUGCCACUGCACUUCAGCCUGCGUGACAGAACAAGACUCUGUCACACACACACACAAAAUGAGAAAUCAAAUUCAAUGAUAUAGGUGCAUUUAGUAGACUUCAAAUUUAAUGUUA
ensembl:lncRNA ZNF213-AS1 ZNF213 antisense RNA 1 (head to head)